AGAUUGAACGCUGGCGGCAUGCCUUACACAUGCAAGUCGAACGGCAGCACGGGAGCAAUCCUGGUGGCGAGUGGCGAACGGGUGAGUAAUACAUCGGAACGUGCCCAAUCGUGGGGGAUAACGCAGCGAAAGCUGUGCUAAUACCGCAUAAGAUCUACGGAUGAAAGCAGGGGAUCGCGAGACCUUGCGCGAAUGGAGCGGCCGAUGGCAGAUUAGGUAGUUGGUGAGGUAAAGGCUCACCAAGCCUUCGAUCUGUGGCUGGUCUGAGAGGACGACCAGCCACACUGGGACUGAGACACGGUCCAGACUCCUACGGGAGCAGUAGUGGGGAAUUUGGACAAUGGGCGCAAG
rnacentral:rRNA from 1 species